rnacentral:rRNA from 1 species
AUUGAACGCUGGCGGCAGGCCUAACACAUGCAAGUCGAGCGGAUGAAGGGAGCUUGCUCCUGGAUUCAGCGGCGGACGGGUGAGUAAUGCCUAGGUAUCUGCCUGGUAGUGGGGGAUAACGUCCGGAAACGGGCGCUAAUACCGCAUACGUCCUGAGGGAGAAAGUGGGGGAUCUUCGGACCUCACGCUAUCAGAUGAGCCUAGGUCGGAUUAGCUAGUUGGUGGGGUAAAGGCCUACCAAGGCGACGAUCCGUAACUGGUCUGAGAGGAUGAUCAGUCACACUGGAACUGAGACACGGUCCAGACCCCUACGGGAGGCAGCAGUGGGGAAUAUUGGACAAUGGGCGAAAGCCUGAUCCAGCCAUGCCGCGUGUGUGAAGAAGGUCUUCGGAUUGUAAAGCACUUUAAGUUGGGAGGAAGGGCAGUAAGUUAAUACCUUGCUGUUUUGACGUUACCAACAGAAUAAGCACCGGCUAACUUCGUG